UGUUUUGUAACCAAUGACACAUCUGUCUCCCCUGUUGGACUGUGAGUUCUUGCAGUCUAGUAAAGAGGGCAGGUAAUUCGAUAAAGGGUUAAAAGCCACUGUAAAUGUAGGAUUAGAGGAAUGUAGGCAGACGGUGAUGGGGACGUGGACAUGGGGCUGAUGGAGCACCCAACUGCCCAGCUGUGGGCUGACAGGAUAGUGUGGGUGGUUGAGGGUUGAGCUGGCUUUUGAAGUGUACAGAGAAUUCGCCAGCCAGAUAAGAGCGGAACGCAUCUGAGAGUGAAAAGAUUAUGCAAAGGCUCAGGCGUAUAAAAGAACCAUGUCACAUUCAGGAACUCUGAGGAGUGAGGAGUAGCAAGAGAGCAGUGGGUACUUGGAGCAAAUACGAUUGGAGACAAGGCUGGUGAGGCAGGCGGGAGAAAGCAGGGCUCAGUGUGCCCUGUACUGGAAUCUGCUCUUGCUCUGGGUUGAAGAUAGCAAGUGCAUCUCUGGGCAACUACUGCAGCUGGCUGUGGGGGACUGAUGCAUACUGUUGAGGCUGAUCUUACUCUGUCUCCUCUCUAUGAACAAGGCCUUGAAACCGCCACUCCGUCAGGUCCUUGUCUUUCCAGUUUUCCUUCUUUGUGCCAUUGGGAUUAUAGAGAAUCAGCUCAUAAAAGUCAAAGUCCCCAGAGGCUGGACUCCAGUUGAACCAAAGGCUGUCUGUCGUGUUCCGAUUGGACCCCCUGAGAUGACUCACAGAGGCUGGGACUUAAACAGAAGAAAAAUUGUUACUGAGAACAAAACAGAAACACAGGCAUUUUGGCCCACAGAUCUCUAUUAAGAGAAAAAUACAAAGAAUAAAUGAGUAAGGCUCUUGAAACCAUUGAAUUGUACAAACUUUGGUGGUUUUAAAUCUGGAUUUGUGAAUAGCUGAGCCCGUUCACUGUCCCAUUUUGGAGAACCAUGAGGCAUUCUACAAUCUAGCCCUUCUCCAGGUGGAUGCUUACCUGUCCGCCCAACCACAUUUAUCUGAUUCUUCAGGGACCCGCUGACUGAGGCAAUCAUGAUCUGGUACUGCUCCCCGGCCUCCAGUCUGUGGAACGUGUGCUCAAAGACGUGCUUGGGAAUAGUCUGAGAGUCAACCUUUUGACUGUGCCUGAAUGCCGACACCGUGUAGGAAUCAACGUCUCCCCCACCAGGAGUCCAGUUCACCGUCAGGCUAUCUGUUGCUCCAUUGGGAGAAAUGUGAAUAUUUUUGACAGCACUAGGAACUAAAACAGAAAAUAAAUUUAAAAGUCAUCACUUAGAGAAUGAACUGUUGAAAUUUUCAAACAAAGUUUUGAAUGCUUCUGAUGUUUUGGCACCCACUGAGAGAACUCACAUGAAAAAGAAAGUAACAAUUUGCCACUUUUCUCUGAUUUUUCUGUGUGAACUAAAGUUGAUGGGGGAAAGCUUAGGGGGAAGUCAAAGCCGGUGAGUGGAAAUGAGGAAUGCUAAUUAUAUAGCGAGGGGCUAGUUAGGGUGUCUUGGUCCAAGUUUUGGUUUUCUCACUCACUAGCUGUGGGACUACAGGCAAAUUACUUGACCUCUGUAAGUUUUAGUUUCUUCAUUAGGAAAAAUGGCAGUGAUGAUAAUACUAACCAGCCCAUAGAGUUGUGAAGAUUGAUUCUUUUUUAAUUUAAUUUUAUUUUAUUUUUGAGGUAGGGUCUCUGUCUGUUGUCCAGGCUGGAGUGCAAUGGCAUGAUUAUGGCUCACUGCAUCCUAUACCUCCUGGGCUCAAGUGAUUCUCCCACCUCAGCCUCCCCAGUAGCUGGGACUACAGGCACGUAACACCGUGCCCGGCUAAUUUUUUUGUAUUUUUUGUAGAGACAGGGUUUUGUCAUGUUGCCCAGGCUGUGCUUGAACUCCUGGGCUCAAGCUAUCCUCCUGCCUUGGCUUCCAAAGCAUUGUGAAGACUGAACAAGAUGUAGACAUAAAAUGCUUUGCUGUGGGUCUGGUUCAUGGUGAACUGUCAGUACAUGUUAACUACUAUGGCAACACUCCUAAAAGAGUUCUAAAGAAGUGAUACCCAAGUAACACUUAAUUCUUAAUCUGUGUGCCUCAGAAGCACCAGCUGAUCACAUCAGUUCAUUGCUAUUUCUCUGAAAGCACCCUCCAACCCCGCCACUCUCUGCUGACAUCAUACUUUAUUUUCAUUCAUCCAGGUUGGACAACAUCAUUGUCACUAUCAACAUGACUUUGUCCCUUCUUGCUGUCUCCCUUUUAUCCCUCCAAAUGCUCAAUCGAAAUACCUGAACUACCCGAAAGUUAAAUGCACCACUGCAUCUAUUCAGGUUCAAGAACAGUAUUUCACAUUACCUGUGAAGCCCUCAAUGAAGGCUGACUGCUGUACAUCCCCGCUAAUCGUCAAGACAAGAAUUUUGUAUUGGCGGCCUGGUGUUAGGGAAGUAAAUCGAUACUCGGUUGCGGUAUUUACAAGGUGAAAAGGAGGAAAUACUUUCAUGUCAUUGAAGAGCAGCUGGAUCUCAUAUUGGUCGACAUCCCCAUUAGCUCCUGACCAAGUCACAUGCAAGUCCUCAGUGCUCCUGUUGCGCAAUGUUAGAUCCUUAACAGGCUCUGGAACUAGGGAGAAAAAUGAGAAGACAUUUCAGGAAAGGAACUGAUCAGAGUUUACCUACAUAAUAAUUUAUGAAUCACAUUCAAGGAACUGGCAACAUCUCCCUUCCCCAAAUAAACCACUAGCACUACUUCAUGCAUAAUUAAACAAGAAAAAUUGGAAGCAACUAUUAACAUUGUGGUUUUUUCCUGACAUAAAUGUUACAUGAUCAGCAUUGGUAGAACAUAAUUAUAAAAUGAGUUAUGAUCUCAAUCAUAAGAUAAAACAAGAAGUCUAGAAUCUAAAUGCCAUGAUGCAGGAAGAUAGGGAAGAAAAAUGGGACAUUUAGCCUUCUUGCUCCCUCACUAUGUUUGCUUUUAUCUACCAAUAAAUAUUCUGUAAUUAUAGGCCAUGGCUUGGCUGAAUGAUGUUAGCACCAAGUGAGACUUACUGGGAAUGUAAUGUACUAAUGAAUAAGCAGAAAAAAUUCAAGGUUCAGAUAAAUUACUAGAGACUUUCAAGUCCAACCAACUGUCAGAUUUUGCAAUCGUUCCACUUACUUGUUCUCCCAUUCCCUUGUUCAUUGGCUUCAUAUUGUCCACUUUUUGUAGUAACAGUGACACUGUACAACCGUCCAGGGACUAGCUGAACAAAUACACAUUCGUUUUCUGACUUGGGAAUGCUUUUAGUUUGAAUGAAGUUGUUUUUGUUUUUAAUGGUGACUUCAUAGUGAUCAAAGUCUCCAGUGGCAUGCACCCAGGAUACCCUUAAAUAGUCACUCCUGGCUGAGUUGCUAACACUGACUCCCUGGACUUUGUCAGGCACUGAAAAGGAAACAGAGAGUAACUAAAUAUUUAUGAAUUCUGAGUGAGUAAUUGAUCACAGAUGACAAGCUGGGACAAUAAAAAGAGAGAGUAGAUUAUUAUUGUGUGCAUUUAAAAGAAAAAUCUUAGACCUUAGGUUACAAAUUUCUGGAGGGGAAAGAUUGUUACACUAUGUGGAGUGAUUAAACGGAUCUUUUAACAGAAGCUGAUGAACUCAUUCUAAGCCUGCUGUUUGCCUGCACAAAGUGUCAUGUAUAAGAUGGAACAUUAAACAUGAUGGCUGAU
rnacentral:lncRNA from 1 species